GACGAACCGUGCGAACGUUGUUCGGAUUCACUGGGCUUAAAGGGCGCGUAGGCGGGCCGCCAAGUCAGGGGUGAAAUCCUCCGGCUCAACCGGAGAACGGCCCCUGAUACUGGCGGCCUCGAGGGGGGUAGGGGCAGGCGGAACUUCCGGUGGAGCGGUGAAAUGCGUAGAUAUCGGAAGGAACGCCGGUGGCGAAAGCGGCCUGCUGGACCCCAACUGACGCUGAUGCGCGAAAGCCAGGGGAGCAAACGGG
rnacentral:rRNA from 1 species